rnacentral:rRNA from 1 species
UACGGAAGGCAGCAGUGGGGAAUAUUGCACAAUGGGCGCAAGCCUGAUGCAGCCAUGCCGCGUGUAUGAAAAAGGCCUUCGGGUUGUAAAGUACUUUCAGUCGUGAGGAAGGUGUUAAGGUUAAUAACCUUAGCAAUUGACGUUAGCGACAGAAGAAGCACCGGCUAACUCCGUGCCAGCAGCCGCGGUAAUACGGAGGGUGCGAGCGUUAAUCGGAAUUACUGGGCGUAAAGGGCACGCAGGCGGUUAAUUAAGUUGGAUGUGAAAUCCCCGGGCUUAACCUGGGAAUGGCAUUCAAGACUGGUUAGCUAGAGUCUUGUAGAGGGGGUAGAAUUCCAUGUGUAGCGGUGAAAUGCGUAGAGAUGUGGAGGAAUACCGGUGCGAAGGCGGCCCCUGGACAAAGACUGACGCUCAUGUGCGAAAGCGUGGGGAGCAAACAGGGAUUAGAUACC